UGUUUCUUGAUGAGGAUUAGACAUGUUUCGACUCAGCAACACAUCUACCUGCACUUCCACUUUAUUCUAUUUUCUUUUUAUUUGUGCUCUACAUCCACCGAAUACUGAUCUUAUUCAUUACAACAUCACCAAUUCAACAAAGCAGUUCAAGUAAAGGUCUCAAACCCUAAUAACUCCCCAAACACCCAACAUCUUCUCGCCACCAUCUUCAUCGGCUAUAACUCACACCACCAUCGCACCAUCCUCACUAAUGAGCCCCACUGGAGUAGUCAACACCGCCAUCUCUGCCGUAUAUUCUUACCGAGAAAUAGGACAACGUUGUUGAACAUCCAUGUUCGAAAUUUGAAAUUGACGUCAGGGUUCGAUAUUCGUAAACUUCAUCCUAUAGAAUUAGAAAUAUAAAAAUGUCUUCAGGGGAUAGAAAUUUUAGCGGGUUUAAUGAUACAGCUCACAUGUUGACAUGCUAAAAGGUAACAAUGAUUUCUAUCCUCCAUUUGUUUUAAUGUUAAUCUUUAUAUUACUCGAUCUGUAUUUAUAUGAAUGCAAACAUGCAAGCAUACCAUACCGUGUUUGAGGGGGGCGUUGUACGUUUGCAGAUAGAUACAAUUGUUGAGUCAAUACUAACUGGUGAAGCAUAGUUGAAUAGUAGCAUUGGUUGAAGAGAACUAUAUUUCUCCAAUACUUGAAAUAUUUCUUAAAUUCAUAGAGAAGAUUUUUGUUCCGAUUUUUAUAUCUUGGCAUUUUGUUUGAGCUAUUGGAAAUAGUAGACGACAGCUGAAUUUGUAUAUUAAUCCUUUAAUACAUUUUCUUGUCCUUAUAUUGACAAAAUUUUCGGGGAGAGCAAUUUUCUGGUGAUUUUGGAUUCUUAACAUCAAGGAUAAAUGAACUGGAGAAGCAGAAAGGGCUCUUUUGAUUGAAAAAUCAGGAAAUGGCCGAUGACUAUUCAGUUGUUGGGAAGCAAUGCAUCUAUUGUAACCAAAAUGGAAGUGAAGCUCCUCAUCUAUAGCGACACUUAGGAAGAGAUUAUUGAACCAGAGGAAGAGAAACUUUACUAUGAAAUUGUAGAAGUUUGUCCGAAUGAUAAUAUCCUUUUGAUUUUUUAUUUAUUCAUUUAUUUUGCUUUGUAAAAAACCAUUUGAAGCACACACUUCAUGAUCUUAAUUUCAAUAAUCAUAAUACAAAUGACGAUGGUAUUUCUUUUGUUAAA